GACGAACGCUGGCGGCGUGCUUAACACAUGCAAGUCGAACGGAAAGGCCCUGCUUUUGUGGGGUGCUCGAGUGGCGAACGGGUGAGUAACACGUGAGUAACCUGCCCUUGACUUUGGGAUAACUUCAGGAAACUGGGGCUAAUACCGGAUAGGAGCUCCUGCUGCAUGGUGGGGGUUGGAAAGUUUCGGCGGUUGGGGAUGGACUCGCGGCUUAUCAGCUUGUUGGUGGGGUAGUGGCUUACCAAGGCUUUGACGGGUAGCCGGCCUGAGAGGGUGACCGGCCACAUUGGGACUGAGAUACGGCCCAGACUCCUACGGGAGGCAGAAGUGGGGAAUUUUGCACAAUGGGCCGAAGCCUGGUGCAGCAACGCCGCGUGCGGGAUGACGGCCUUCGGGUUGUAAACCGCUUUCGCCUGUGACGAAGCGUGAGUGACGGUAAUGGGUAAAGAAGCACCGGCUAACUACGUG
rnacentral:rRNA from 1 species